rnacentral:rRNA from 1 species
UACGUAGGGGGCAAGCGUUGUCCGGAUUUACUGGGCGUAAAGAGCGUGUAGGCGGCUUUGUAGGUCCGCUGUGAAAACUCGAGGCUCAACCUCGAGAUGUCGGCGGAAACCACUUGGCUAGAGUCCGGAAGAGGAGAGUGGAAUUCCCGGUGUAGCGGUGAAAUGCGCAGAUAUCGGGAAGAACACCUAUGGCGAAGGCAGCUCUCUGGGACGGUACUGACGCUGAGACGCGAAAGCGUGGGGAGCGAACAGG